GUUGACCUCGGAUCAGGUAGGGAUACCCGCUGAACUUAAGCAUAUCAAUAAGCCGGAGG
rnacentral:rRNA from 1 species